GACGAACGCUGGCGGCGUGCCUAAUACAUGCAAGUAGAACGCACAGUUUAUACCGUAGCUUGCUACACUAUAGACUGUGAGUUGCGAACGGGUGAGUAACGCGUAGGUAACCUGCCUGGUAGCGGGGGAUAACUAUGGAAAACGAUCGCUAAUACCGCAUAAUAUUAAUUAUUGCAUGAUAAUUAAUUGAAAGGUGGAGUUUCACCACUACCAGAUGUACCUGCGUUGUAUUAGCUAGUAGGUGAGGUAACGGCUCACCUAGGCGACGAUACAUAGCCGACCUGAGAGGGGGAUAGGCCACACCGGGACUGAGACACGGCCCAGACUCCUACGGGAGGCAGCAGGAGGGAAUCUUUGGCAAAGGAAGAAAGUGUGACCGAGCAACGCCGCGUGAGUGAAGAAGGUUGUCGGAUCGUAAAGCUCUGUUGUAAGAGAAGAACGGGUGUGAGAGUGGAAAGUUCACACUGUGACGGUACCUUACCAGAAAGGGACGGCUAACUACGUG
rnacentral:rRNA from 1 species